CACCUCUUCCUAGCAAUGGUCCAUGUUUUGAGGUGUCCCUACCAAGGGCACAUCUCACAUUUAUUCCUGCAGCAUCAGUACUGUUCCUGGGGAGCUCCCUGUUUACAGGUUACCAUGGGCAAGUGAUGAGAAGGGUGGAAGUUCAAGAUGGGGAGUGUGGCAUAAAAAGAGGUGUGCAAAGUAUGAUGGGCUGUAGCUCAGCAAAGGCCCCGGAAUCAACCUUUGGCAUCCCUAGUUUUUUUUAAAAAAGGAUCUGAAGGAAAGACCCUUCUCUGCUUGAGACUCUGGAGAAGCAGCUGUCAGUUUGCAUUUAUUUUAUCCUGGAGAGAAGCAAUUCAGUUUGCAUUUAUAGGCAAACCUACCUAAUUAUCCAAAGCAAUCUGCAAACCGAAACUCACCCACCCUAUGAAAUUCGCAGCUCUCUGAAUGUUGCAGUGCUGGGGCAUAGCGUGCAUAUAAAUGCACAUACAGUGGUACUUUGGUUCUCAAACUUAAUCCGUUCCAGAAGUCCAUUCCAAAAACCAAGGCGUUCCAAACCAAGGUGUGCUUUCACAUAGAAAGUAAUGCUAAAGGGAUUAAUCCGUUCCAGACUUUUAAAAACAACCCCUAAAACAGCAAUUUAACAUGAAUUUUACUAUCUAACGAGAUAGAUCCAUAAAUGAAAGCAAUAAACAAUGUACUGCAGUCACACAAUCAAUCAGUAGCUGAACAAAAAAAGCUGCAAAAACCAAAACGCAAAAUAAAAAGCAAAAACAGACAGACAUCAGCGUCACACUCAAAACGGAACACGUUUGGCUUCCAAAGAAAAUUUGCAAACCGGAACACUUACUUCCAGGUUUGCAGUGUUUGGGUUCCAAAGUUGUUUGAGUACCAAGGUGCUUGAGAACCAAGGUACCACUGUAUAUUAGUGAAAAUAUACAAAAUGAGAGUGCGUUGUAAAAGGUGAAUUCCACACUAAAAUUCUGAUGCGUUUUCGUGAGAGCUUAUUUAACAACAAAUCACAAACUGAUGUGUGAUUGUGGAGAAGUGAACUUAAGAAAAAGUUAGAAAUUGAGAAGACACCAAAAUUGCCAACAUCCCUCAACUGGACUUUGGACCAGGCAGCUUCCUGUGUUCGUGGGGGUGACUUUUGUUUCAGCCCAACCCAAACAUGAUGAGGGAUGCCUGGCUUGAUGUCACAGCUGCCAAGGUUGUCCCCUCCCUUUGCAAGCAGCGGUCAGUGAGGUGGGGUAGGGAAUUCUGAGCAUCUUGACAUCACACUGUCUUGCUUUAUCAGAAGCUAUCUUGUAGUACUUGGGGGUGGUGAGUAGGGGCACAUUCCCUGGGAAGUCUUGCUUGGGCCUCAAUCUCUAGGUUUUAUCCAACACCCCCCCCCCAGGUUAAACACAACAUUAAAAAGUGGGAUAGGUUUUGCCAGGUGGGCUUUUAAAGCAGGUACAGGGAACCCGGUGCCUUCCAGAUGUUGCAGACUACAGGUCAUCCCUGCCCACUGGCUAUGCUGGCUGGGAUCUUGGGAGUUGGAGUCCCCAACACCUGGAGGGGCUGUGCGUUACCCAUUCCUGUUUGCAGAGGGUGCCACUCCUGCCCUCCCCCUCACUGACUUUUUAAAAGUCCCAUCUGCAGAGUUAUGGCCCCAGCCUGUUGCAACUCAUGAUUGGUCUGCCUUUUCCCUUCGUAUGAAUCAAUAAAUGACUUGGGAACCUGCUCCUCAAAUACCAAA